GGGGAUCUGCCCGAUAGAGGGGGAUAACUACUGGAAACGGUGGCUAAUACCGCAUAAUGUCUACGGACCAAAGCAGGGGCUCUUCGGACCUUGCACUAUCGGAUGAACCCAUAUGGGAUUAGCUAGUAGGUGGGGUAAAGGCUCACCUAGGCGACGAUCUCUAGCUGGUCUGAGAGGAUGAUCAGCCACACUGGGACUGAGACACGGCCCAGACUCCUACGGGAGGCAGCAGUGGGGAAUAUUGCACAAUGGGCGCAAGCCUGAUGCAGCCAUGCCGCGUGUAUGAAGAAGGCCUUAGGGUUGUAAAGUACUUUCAGCGGGGAGGAA
rnacentral:rRNA from 1 species